CCCACCUCAACAUCGAAGGUAUUGCGUUUUGCCUUUCGGACAUCCCUCGGUUCACACUUUCCCAUCAAACACAAUCACUGCCACCGCCCUCUCUCUUCUCUCCAUCCAGCCCAUUGUUUUUUCUUGGUUGGUUUCUCCUUUUUUUCUUUUUUUUGGGUUUUGGGUUUGCUCUCUUACGGGGGAAAAAAUAAAGAGCAUGGGAGAUCACAUGCGGUGAUCUCACUUGUCAUUCUAUUUUAAUGUUCUUGAUCUUGGUUUUUUAAAGGGUAGAUUCAGUCUAGGAGGGUUGGAAUGCCAAAGAGUUAAUUCCAGAAGUGGCAAGAAAGAGGACAGCAGUGGAAGGCCAAUGUACUCCAAGAACUUGUGAAUCUGGUCACUGCUUUUGGAAAUCAUAACAUCCAAUAUUCCUUCAAAACUAUUUGGCAUCCAGAAGUUUUUCUGCAUCAAUAUCUCAACUCCUGUGCUUACUGUGAGUCAGACAUAAGCUCCACCGUAGCUGCAUCAAUACGUCAGGCCAGAUUUUGGCCAUCCAGUUCCCAUUUUAGUGCUUUCUUAUAUCUUAACAACUCACAUUGGUGAUCUGGGAUGUGUAUCUUUAGCCUGUGAAGUGGAUAAGAGGAACUUGAAAUUGAUGAGAAAUUUUGCUUCCAGUCAGCUGCAUCAUAUCAUUUAAGUGGAGAAAAAGAAGGCUAUCAAUAUUCUAACUAGCAACCAGUGGUUUCCGACGCAAGAUCCCAGUGGACCUGUGUGUUUUCUGUGGGGAUUGAUAAACCUGGACUCUGGAACUUAAAUGCAUUUUGAAAUAUUGAACACAGACUCCAGAUUGCCAAAGGUUAACUCAAGGGCUUGUUGGAUUUGUAUGAUGGAAGGCAGAGCAAGGAGAGAUAGAUUCGCAAGGGAAUCGAGCAACAACAACAAAAGGCCUCAACAACAUGGGCAGGACCAUAGAGCCUACACUUCGAGCUAUUUCAGCAUGGAAUCAUUUCUGGUACUUAUCUGCCUUACUGCAUCCUUACUCAUUCUUCCACUAAUUCUGCCUCCAUUGCCUCCGCCGCCUUUCUUGCUAUUACUGCUUCCUAUAUGCAUACUUGUUGUGUUAAUGGUCUUGGCUUUAAUGCCUUCGGAUGUCCGGAACAUUGCCUCCCCUUACUUGUAAAGAAGCUUCUUCUUGUAUAAAGGUGAGCGAGUGAAAAUGUCUUUUUAAUUUUGAAUGAUAAGAACAAUGGUUACAAAAUGUUUCAGGCAUUCAGUUAAUUUGCCUACUAAAAUGGUAGUGAUCAUAUUCGGACCGAACUAAAC